rnacentral:rRNA from 1 species
AACGAACGCUGGCGGCAUGCCUAACACAUGCAAGUCGAACGAGACCUUCGGGUCUAGUGGCGCACGGGUGCGUAACGCGUGGGAACCUGCCCUUAGGUUCGGAAUAACUCCCCGAAAGGGGUGCUAAUACCGGAUAAUGUCUUCGGACCAAAGAUUUAUCGCCUUUGGAUGGGCCCGCGUUGGAUUAGCUAGUUGGUAGGGUAAAAGCCUACCAAGGCGACGAUCCAUAGCUGGUCUGAGAGGAUGAUCAGCCACACUGGGACUGAGACACGGCCCAGACACAGCGGGGAGGCAGGAGGGGGAAAGAGUGAAGGUGCGGAGAAAGCCGGAUCAACGACGGCAGGGUUAGUGGUGAAUGCGUUAGGUUUGAAAAUCUCUGCAACGGGGGAAGAGAAUGACAGUAAGGGGAGAAUAAGCCCGCGCUAACUCCUGGCCAGCGGCUGAGAUAAAAGAUGGAGGAGCCCACACCUGAGC